rnacentral:ncRNA from 1 species
GACGACCGGCCGGAGUGUGUCAGUGGUGCCCGCGAGGGAGCCCGAGACUCCGGCCACAAGUGGAGGCUCCGCGCUCCCACCUGACCGCCCGCACGGGCGGCGGGUCAACCGGUCAGACGGCACCGCACCCGAGGCGGUGAGCGUCCGAAGUCGCGCCCCGCGUUCCACGCGGCGGUGCUCCGGUCAGUACAGGAGCCCCGCUCGUGAUCGUCCGGGGCAUUUUUC